GACGAACGCUGGCGGCGUGCUUAACACAUGCAAGUCGAACGGAAAGGCCCUGCUUUUGUGGGGUGCUCGAGUGGCGAACGGGUGAGUAACACGUGAGUAACCUGCCCUUGACUUUGGGAUAACUUCAGGAAACUUGGGCUAAUACCGGAUAGGAGCUCCUGCUGCAUGGUGGGGGUUGGAAAGUUUCGGCGGUUGGGGAUGGACUCGCGGCUUAUCAGCUUGUUGGUGUGGUAGUGGCUUACCAUGGCUUUGACCGGUAGCCGGCCUGAGAGGGUGACCGGCCACAUUGCGACUGAGAUACGGCACAGACUCCUACGGGAGGCAGCAGUGGGGAAUAUUGCACAAGAGGCGGAAGCCUGAUGCAGCAACGCCGCGUGCGGGAUGACGGCAUUCGGGUUGUAAACCGCUUUCGCCUGUGACGAAGCGUGAGUGACGGUAAUGGGUAAAGAAGCACCGGCUAACUACGUG
rnacentral:rRNA from 1 species